rnacentral:rRNA from 1 species
GACCGGGACCCGCACAAGCGGUGGAUCAUGUUGUUUAAUUCGAUGAUACGCGAAGAACCUUACCAGGUCUUGACAUCCCCGCAAUGCUCUGGAGACAGAGCGGAGGUAUCCGGGGAGACAGGUGGUGCAUGGUUGUCGUCAGCUCGUGUCGUGAGAUGUUGGGUUAAGUCCCGCAACGAGCGCAACCCCUACGUUUAGUUGCUAACGCGUGAAGGCGAGCACUCUAGACGAACUGCCGUUGACAAAACGGAGGAAGGUGGGAUGACGUCAAAUCAUCAUGCCCCUUAUGUUCUGGGCUACACACGUGCUACAAUGGCCGGUACAGACGGACGCAAAGCCGCGAGGUGGAGCAAAUCCUAAAAAGCCGGUCUCAGUUCGGAUUGCAGGCUGCAAUUCGCCUGCAUGAAGUCGGAAUCGCUAGUAAUCGCAGGUCAGCAUACUGCGGUGAAUACGUUCCCGGGCCUU